rnacentral:rRNA from 1 species
CCUACGGGUGGCAGCAGUGGGGAAUAUUGGACAAUGGGGGCAACCCUGAUCCAGCCAUGCCGCGUGUGUGAAGAAGGCCCUCGGGUUGUAAAGCACUUUCAGUGAGGAAGAACGCCUGGUGGUUAAUACCCAUCAGGAAAGACAUCACUCACAGAAGAAGCACCGGCUAACUCCGUGCCAGCAGCCGCGGUAAUACGGAGGGUGCGAGCGUUAAUCGGAAUUACUGGGCGUAAAGCGCGCGUAGGUGGCUCGAUAAGCCGGUUGUGAAAGCCCCGGGCUCAACCUGGGAACGGCAUCCGGAACUGUCAAGCUAGAGUGCAGGAGAGGAAGGUAGAAUUCCCGGUGUAGCGGUGAAAUGCGUAGAGAUCGGGAGGAAUACCAGUGGCGAAGGCGGCCUUCUGGACUGACACUGACACUGAGGUGCGAAAGCGUGGGUAGCAAACAGGAUUAGAUACCCGGGUAGUC